rnacentral:rRNA from 1 species
UCCAGACUCCUACGGGAGGCAGCAGUGGGGAAUAUUGCACAAUGGGGGGAACCCUGAUGCAGCGACGCCGCGUGAGUGAAGAAGUAUUUCGGUAUGUAAAGCUCUCUCAGCAGGGAAGAUAAUGACGGUACCUGACUAAGAAGCCCCGGCUAACUACGUGCCAGCAGCCGCGGUAAUACGUAGGGGGCAAGCGUUAUCCGGAUUUACUGGGUGUAAAGGGUGCGUAGGUGGCAGGGCAAGUCAGAUGUGAAAGCCCGGGGCCCAACCCCUGGACUGCAUUGGAAACUGUAAAUCUUGAGUGCCGGAGAGGUAAGCGGAAUUCCUAGUGUAGCGGUGAAAUGCGUAGAUAUUAGGAGGAACACCAGUGGCGAAGGCGGCUUACUGGACGGUAACUGACGUUGAGGCUCGAAAGCGUGGGGAGCAAACAGGAUUAGAUACCCGUGUACU